rnacentral:rRNA from 1 species
AUUGAACGCUGGCGGCAUGCCUAACACAUGCAAGUCGAGCGGAUGAAGGGAGCUUGUUCCUGGCUUCCGCGGCGGACGGGUGGGUAAUGCCUAGGUGUCUGCCUGGCCGUGAGGGCUAACGUCCGUUCGCGGGCCCUAAUCCCGCAUACGUCCUUAGGUUGAAAGGGAGGGAUCUUCGGACCUCACGCUAUCUGCUGACCCUAGGUCGGAUUAGCUAGUUGGUUGGGUAAAGGCCUACCAAGGCGACGAUCCGUAACUGGUCUGAGAGGAUGAUCUGCCACACUGGAACUGAGACACGGUCCAGACUCCUACGGGAGGCAGCAGUGGGGAAUAUUGGGCAAUGGGCGAAAGCCUGAUGCUGCCAUGCCGCGUGUGUGAAGAAGGUCUUCGGAUUGUAAAGCACUUUAAGUUGGGAAGAAGAGCAGUAAGAUAAAACCUGGCCGUUUUGACGGUACCAACAGAAUAAGCACCGGCUAACUUCGUG